UGAACCUGCGGAAGGAUCAUUACCUAGAGUUUGUAGACUUCGGNCUGCUACCUCUUACCCAUGUCUUUUGAGUACCUUCGUUUCCUCGGCGGGUCCGCCCGCCGAUUGGACAACAUUCAAACCCUUUGCAGUUGCAAUCAGCGUCUGAAAAAACAUAAUAGUUACAACUUUCAACAACGGAUCUCUUGGUUCUGGCAUCGAUGAAGAACGCAGCGAAAUGCGAUAAGUAGUGUGAAUUGCAGAAUUCAGUGAAUCAUCGAAUCUUUGAACGCACAUUGCGCCCCUUGGUAUUCCAUGGGGCAUGCCUGUUCGAGCGUCAUUUGUACCUUCAAGCUCUGCUUGGUGUUGGGUGUUUGUCUCGCCUCUGCGUGUAGACUCGCCUUAAAACAAUUGGCAGCCGGCGUAUUGAUUUCGGAGCGCAGUACAUCUCGCGCUUUGCACUCAUAACGACGACGUCCAAAAGUACAUUUUUACACUCUCGACCUCGGAUCAGGUAGGGAUACCCGCUGAACUUAAGCAUAUCA
rnacentral:rRNA from 1 species